rnacentral:rRNA from 1 species
UACCGAUGGCGAAGGCAGCCUCCUGGCAUCAUACUGACACUGAGGUUCGAAAGCGUGGGUAGCAAACAGGAUUAGAUACCCCUGGUAGUCCACGCCGUAAACGAUGUCUACUAGUCGUUGGGGAACUUGAUUCCUUAGUGACGCAGCUAACGCAAUAAGUAGACCGCCUGGGGGAGUACCGNCNCCAAGGU